rnacentral:rRNA from 1 species
UAGCGAAGGGGGCAAGCGUUGCUCGGGAAUCACUGGGCGUAAAGCGCACGUAGGCGGCUUCUUAAGUCAGGGGUGAAAUCCUGGAGCUCAACUCCAGAACUGCCUUUGAUACUUGAGGAGCUCGAGUCCGGGAGAGGUGAGUGGAACUCCGAGUGUAGAGGUGAAAUUCGUAGAUAUUCGGGAAGAACACCAGUGGCGAAGGCGGCGACCUGGGUAGAUACUGACGCUGAGGCGCGAAAG